GUUGGAAGUUUCGAUGGUGGAUCUGUUUUGUUUGUGUUAAUUCGUCACAUGCAUCUAUAUUUCUAUGCACUCUGUAAUGGAUUGUUGCUAUUUUCAUGUGCAGGCAUUUCAGCAACUCACAAGACUCAACACUGUCAUGUACUACAGUCUCACAAUAUUGCAGAUGGCUGGAUUUGCUAUUUUCAUGUACUACCUAAAAUAUAGCUUAUUUUCUGCUUUCUUUAAUGCCAUCUAUAUUACACAUCAAAAUAAAUAGAAGUUGAUGAUGUUAUGUAUAUGUGGGUUAAUUGGGUUUUGAACAAUGCUUAAGAGAUCAAAUAUAUGGAAAAACCUUGUUUUUUUAUGGAUUAAAAUGACUCUAAAUACACAUGGCUCUGUUUUCUUAGAUCCUUACAAUGAAUUUGAUUUUUCUUUCUUGGUAGAACCAGUUCACUAAGCAUUUAAGUGGCUUGGGAAAUAGUAAUUAUAUUAGACAAGUUCCCAUUUUCUCACUUUCUCACCUCAAAAUGCAAGUGAAUAAGAGCCAUUCUUAUCUCACGUUAUUACAUUCAGAAGAUUUGGGAGUUUGCGGGUUACCCUUUGGAGUUGGAUUUUCAACCUUUCGUUAGCAGCCCGAAUGACGAUGACAACAUGAGUUGAAACUUCCGCCUCAACCAUUGAAUUAACAACUGUGUGUUUGGUUUUCAUUCGACUGAUUUUUUUUUUUUUUUUUUAAAUUUUGAUGUCUUUCUUAAUUUUUUGGAUAUUAGGGGAAAUCUCUAAAAAUACCCACUGUUCAACAAAAUUUCUUUCAUGCCAACCUUGUAUUGCUACAAUUGAGGUUGUGGCUAGAUCAGCAGCAUGGCUUGGAAGAGGCCUUUCUUGUGUUUGUGCUCAGAGAAGAGAGAAUGGUGCUCAUUCAUCAUUUGAACUAACCCCUUUACAGGUUGCAUUGUUGGACAAGGGGCUAUGAUAUUGAAUUUUCAAACUUUCUAUAGUCUCUUUCAAUAAUUCUAGCUUCUAGUGAUCGCAUUCACAUGCUCAGCAAGAAGUCUUAUUGAUACAAAAUCUGGAAUUGCAAGUAGGGGUUUGGUUUUCUCACCCCACUCUGGGCAUUUCCUGUUUGGUGAAUUGAGUGAAUCGCGAUUCAAUUCAGCUGAGCAUCCAAAUAGACUCAAAUAGAUAUUAUGGGUCUUGUUGAUUCACACAGACUUUCUUCGUAUCUCAUGUAUUUGGUUUUUAUUAUUAUUGCAAUAAUCUCUGUUAUAUCCAAAAGGAUCUUGUUUAAUCGACGUGCUGUACAAUUGCUUUCGAAAUGGCUGGCCGGACCGAGAUUACAAGAAACUCCAUUGGCAGCCAAACGGAUCUUCCUCAUUCCAUGUUGCAAGAUUCAUGUUGUUGAGUGUGCACCUUUUCUAUUAGAAUCCAGCCAUGACUUGUCGACUGGAAAGGCUUCUAGUUUCUUGACCAUCGCUAUUGGUGGUAGCAAUGCCAUGGGAAUCGAAAAACCAUCUGACCUUUUCAUGCAGAUGAGAAGAUAGAAGGUCUCCGACAAGAUUUGACAGUUGAAAACCAGGUAACCAGAUGUUGCUUUUACUUGGAAUCAAUGAGACUGGUACCCAUAAUGAUGUGGGAAGUGUCUGUUUUUAUUUCUAUGGAACCGAAGCUGCAUGGUUCUUCUAAACAUCAAAUCUUCUUGUUUUGACAAUGAUACUGUUUCAUUUAUUCAUUUUGAUGGAGAGAGUGAUAAGGAUGUGUCUAAACUUGUUUCUGAUUUUGACGCAUACAUGUCCUAGUCUGGUUUAUUAAAGCUUAUAGUUGUAGAGCAUAACAAUGAUACUUAAAUACCAUCUUCUAUGCAUUCAUGGUAAUGAGUGGGUCUUCUUCACUGGAAAACAUAGCCCAUAGCACAUGCAUUGACUGGAACAUAUACCAUCAGAUGGCUAUUAGCUGUGUAACCCAUGCAAGCAAGCCUGCAUGUUGAAUUGGAUGGUAGGCCUCAUGGCAUGGGUUGGCUUCUAUAAUGUGUUUUCAUCUGCUAGAUGGUGUAUCAUGAUAUACAAACAACACUUGCUUCUGUAUGGUAGUCAAUGCACAAUGCAUAUUGUUUUCAUGGUAGCAUGACACCUUUCUCAAAUUUUGA